AUGUCAGGAUUUAACCCCAAAGUUGAGGUGAGGGGGGUCAGGACCCUGCUGGAGUGCGGGGGGGACCUCCAGCCCCCCGGGGGGUCCCUGCGCCUCCUCUGCCGAGGGGCUGGGUUCAGCUUCGGGAGUUAUGGAAUGUUCUGGAUCCGCCAGAGACCCGGGCAGGGGCUGGAGUGGCUCGCAGGGAUCUACAUCUUUGAUGGGACAGACUACGCGGCGUCGGUGCAGGGCCGGGUCAGGAUCUCCAGGGACAACGGGCAGAGCUCGGUGACGCUGACCAUGACCGACCUCCGGGACGAGGAUUCCGCCGUCUAUUUCUGUGCCAAAACCACUGCUACUGGAAAUGUUCAUCCUGGUUAUGGAAUUGGCCCCCUCCCCAUCCCUGCGUCCCCCCCGUCCCCAUGUCCCAGGCCCUUCCCCAAACCCCAGCCCUGA